AUUGAACGCUGGCGGCAGGCCUAACACAUGCAAGUCGAGCGGAUGAAGGGAGCUUGCUCCUGGAUUCAGCGGCGGACGGGUGAGUAAUGCCUAGGAAUCUGCCUGGUAGUGGGGGCUAACGUCCGGAAACGGGCGCUAAUCCCGCAUCCGUCCUGAGGGAGAAAGUGGGGGUUCUUCGGACCUCACGCUAUCAGCUGAGACUAGGUCGGAUUAGCUAGUUGGUGGGGUAAAGGCCUACCAAGGCGACGAUCCGUAACUGGUCUGAGAGGAUGAUCAGUCACACUGGAACUGAGACACGGUCCAGACUCCUACGGGAGGCAGCAGUAGGGAAUCUUGGACAAUGGGCGAAAGCCUGAUCCAGCCAUGCCGCGUGUGUGAAGAAGGUCUUCGGAUUGUAAAGCACUUUAAGUUGGGAGGAAGAGCAGUAAGUUAAUACCUUGCUGUUUUGACGUUACCAACAGAAUAAGCACCGGCUAACUUCGUG
rnacentral:rRNA from 1 species